GCUGGGGGGAAAAAAACCAAGACAAAUUAAAUUGAAGUUAGAAAAAUGACAAUAGGUGAGAAAGCCCUAUGUAUAGGAGGUAGCAGACCAGAUCUGAUUUAUUAUUUAUAUAAUCACAGUUGGCCUACAUUCUCAUACUGUUUGCAAGGUCUUUGUCACUUGUUUAGCAACAACACUUUAACUGGGAUUCUCCCCUCAUCAUGUAGCACGUUCACACACACACUGCUGUUGCUAAUACCAUUUCUGAAGUUAUUCUUGCAGCAAAUCCAUGAUCCUCAUGGUUGCUUUUCAUAUGCUCUACUCAGGACUAUCACCUACAUCUCUGGCAUUUAAGAACAAUGAAGUUGCUCAAUGAAGUGAAAGUACCCGGUCUGUUUUAAGGAUCUUAAGACUUAAAAACAAGUCAGUGAGAUACUAAAACAGAACAGCAAAGUCAUGGCUAAGGACAUGGGAUUUAUCUGUGAGUAACUAAAAUUAUGUCUCAUUGUUACCAGAACCCCUUAUGGAUGUUUCACUGAAUAAUAACCCUAGAUAAGAAUUGGUUGUUAUUUCUAUCAGGAGAUAGCAAAUUGUUCUGUUUGAAGAGGUAAUCAGCUACAUUUAGCAAAUGGAAAAGAGAGAGAAAGCCAUGUGUCAAGAUCAACCAGGAGCCAGAUCAAGAACAAUGUUCCCCCCUACCACAUCCCCUUCAUUUCUCCUCCUCUAAGGUCUUCCUGGUAAUGAUUUUGUAUCCAGCAAAUUUAAGGCUUACAGAAAUUGUUAAUUUUCUUGCAUAUACUUAGCAAAAUACAAUAUACAGCUAAUCUAGUAACAUCAAAACUUAAUGGUACUACAUCAUACAACAGGUAAAUCACAUUACCUAUGCUCAGUGUGUAUGUACAUCAAGACUUAAAUAAACAAGAAAGCAGAGAUUUGUGCCUAUAAAGGCACAACUUCUGUCCUGUCCUUUGCUCAUAGCAGAUGCCUACUGAAAUGGAUAUUAAGUAGUUGAUCUCCAUGGAACAAAAUCCACCUUCUAGGAUCCUGGACACUACUGGCAAGACUUUGAGAAAGUGAACCAACAGCUGCAAGCAAUCCCUAGCAAGAUAAUAUGAGAAGCAGAUGGAAACUGAAGUGAAACUGGCUAACAGUUCACUUAUCACAGAAUAAAGACUGGACAAAUUAUUUCCCUGUCUAUUCAAGCAGUCAGAGAGGCAUAUGCAAUACACACUAAAGUAUUAAUUUUAAAGGAUCAGAUGCAUUGUGAGAAAGCUAAAACAAAGUUGGUGGGGGUCCACCACCAGAUGUCCUAUAAGUCCCAGGACUUGUAUGUCCUUGUAUGUCCUGGGACAUACAAGUCCUAAUUUAAAAAAAAAAAGAUAAAAAGCCAGUGUCCUGCCCAUUUUAACUUUAGAAUAUAUUCAUAGGUUCAAGAAAUAUUCUCUCUGUAUGACAAAAACAAAAAAACUUGUAGGAUUUUGAGUCAAAGGGACAAACCAAGAUCUGGCAUAAGACACAGGCACAGCUCUGCUGAAUAAAGAUGAUGAUUUUCUUCCACACCAUUAAACCAGAUGAGGUUAAAUUUAACAGUUAAUCUCAGUGUCUGCAGGACUACAAACAGUGGACAACAAAAACAAGGCAUCGUAUUUAUGAUUCAUGUGCUCUUUAUGUACCCUACAAUACCAUCCCAUACCCAAACAGAAUUAGGCUGGUCUCUUCACUGUGCAGCAUUCAAAAUGAAAUGGUGGAACAGGUGUGUUGGACUGCUGAAGUUUCAGUUUUGUGUAUGUAAUGGAAAGACUUAAUGAAAUGUUAUGUUAUGUCCUCCCCCAAACUCAUGAACAAACCGAAAGUUGUGGGGGUUUUUUUCCAAUUUAAUAAAGAGAAACAACCACCAUCAGAUUAUAUUUGUAGCAGAUUUCUAAAGGAUUUUUUUCUCUUUAAUUUAAAUAUUUUUAAAUAUUAGAUAGUUAAUUAUUUCUUCCUGCAAAGAUCAAAGUCUUCCUAUGUGCAAAGAGAAGAAUAAAAAGAAGGACUUAUCUCCAGACAAGUAGCUGCAUGGAAACUGUGUUGAUAUAACACCAAGGAAUCAUCCUGGUUAUUUUCAAUGUAUGAACUGUUUGUAGUGUGAAGGCUAUUUCUGAAAGUUCAUUUUUUUGCAGAUUCAGAUUACAAAAAUACUUGGCACUUUCAUAUUGCCUCAUAUUGUGAAGUGUUGUACAUUUCAUAUAAUAUUGGAACUGUAAUUUUAUCAAUUAUAAGCAUGCAUCUAUUUUGCAGAUGUCCUUGUACACAAAAUAAAUGAAAUAUUCCCCAUUAUCACGAUAAAUUGA